AGACUGGUGUGUGGUUCUUGGAAGGGCUCCAGGUGCUUGAAAAGGCUGUCUCAGCGGGUGACAGUCCGGAUGAGUUAAGACAGUUCUCACAUCUGUCCGCUCCGCCCGCCCGAGCACACGGCAGCAGUCGACCGCAGCUUCCUGUCUGCCUUUUCACGGAGGAGGAUGAGUGUGGCCACCCGGCCGUGGGGGCCCCAACCCGGCUGCUCUGCACUGCGGCUAGUCUCCCUGGGAGUCUCCACGGGCUCCUGGUGCCCGGGCCAAAGGCUCCAAGGCUGGUCCCUCAUUUCCAGCAGAAAACUGUUUUCCUGGACUGUCUUUUUCUUGGCUUACAGAUUCGUGACUGCACUUUCCCAAGAAGUGUUGAAGCUCGGCUUACAUUUUUGUGUGGAGAACCAGCUAAGCCCUUCCUCAAAGUUUUUGUGAGGAAAAGUAAUUUAAAUGUUUGAAAAAGAGUUGUAACCUGGUAAAGUGCCUCCGAAGGCUGCUGAGUGCCUCAGAGAGCAAGUACCGCGUGCUUGCUGCGUGUGGGUGUUCGGGCCAGGUACUUUGGGGUUAUGUGUGUCAACGUGGCCUGGUCCCUACCUGCCAUCACCUGGGGGGGGGCUGUGAACAAUUCCUGUCAAUGUUGAUAGGAGACAGUGAGACUGUGCCGUUAACGGUAGUCUCCGUGACCCUGGACCCUCAGAACAAGCCUGCGAAGUAGGUACUAUCAUAGUACCUUCUAUGAGUAUCCCCAUUUAACAGAUGAGAAACUGAGGCCCAGAGGGAUGAAGUAGCUUGUCCAGGAUCAAAUACAUAGCAAAUACUGGAACUGGGAUUUGCAGCUGGCAAUUGAGAAGGAGGCUGGAAUCCAGAUCAGAGGGUUCUGGA